rnacentral:rRNA from 1 species
AACGAACGCUGGCGGCAUGCCUAACACAUGCAAGUCGAACGAGACCUUCGGGUCUAGUGGCGCACGGGUGCGUAACGCGUGGGAACCUGCCCUUAGGUUCGGAAUAACUCCCCGAAAGGGGUGCUAAUACCGGAUAAUGUCUUCGGACCAAAGAUUUAUCGCCUUUGGAUGGGCCCGCGUUGGAUUAGCUAGUUGGUAGGGUAAAAGCCUACCAAGGCGACGAUCCAUAGCUGGUCUGAGAGGAUGAUCAGCCACACUGGGACUGAGACACGGCCCAGACUCCUACGGGAGGCAGCAGUGGGGAAUAUUGGACAAUGGGGGAAAGCCUGAUCCAGCAAUGCCGCGUGAGUGAUGAAGGCCUUAGGGUUGUAAAGCUCUUUUACCCGGGAAGAUAAUGACAGUACCGGGAGAAUAAGCCCCGGCUAACUCCGUG